AAAAAGAGAAAAAAAAAAAAAAAAAAGAAAGAUUGUCUUUGCUUUCUUCCAUUUUUGAAACCCAGAAAAAUUUAGAAAAAAUGAAAAAAAAGAAGUAUAUUUUUGGUGGAACGUAAUUAGUACCUCUCAUAUUUCAAUGGAAGCUUUAAUUUUUUUUUUAACGUGGGUAUCUUUUUCUUUUCAAUAUUAUUAAUUUAUUAUUAUAUUGUACCUACCAGCAGCAGGUCAUUUUCGAUCAGGGAAAGAUGUUUCAUGCCAUAACCCCUUUUGUAUUUUUGAUGGGUUCAAGUUUAUUUCUCUUAAUUAUCUUACUUAGAAACCAAGUUUAAGAGAUUAGGUGGGGGGUAUAUAUAAGCAAAUGUGUUUUUUAGCUAGUUAGUGGAGGCUAUAUUACUGGGAUAUUAUCUGUAUAAAUGAAUAUUAUAUAUAAAACUUUAUUAUAUUCGGUAAAAA
rnacentral:misc_RNA from 1 species